rnacentral:lncRNA from 1 species
AGUCCACCUGCGCGGCUGAGUGGAGGAUGCUAGGUUGCUGUGCUGUUUCUCCUACUGUCUUGCUGCCGCACCACCCCUCAGAAAAACCGGGUCGUCAGUUUCCUGCGGUUUGCACUCACCAAAUAUACUUAGCAAUUUGCAAUUCACCCGCAGGAUUAUUCCAGCCUCUGUGAUCACACACAGAAGGAUGAGCCUUCCUCGUGAGGGUUGGAGAUGGAGGGAGAAGGGAUGGAGAGUAAGGAUGGGACGGAGGUUGUGGAGCAGCAGACCAACACGCCAGAAAGGAAAAUAAUGAUCAUCUCAAUUUUUAUAUGUGGAGGCAUUGCUUUUCUUCUUUGGGGGAUUUUAAGAUUUCCCAGAAAAUUUGGAAUUCCAAGGCACCUUAGAAACAAGACAUGCCUAGAAAAUUUGACUAUGUGUCCACAAGGCUGGAACUGAAUCAAUAAUAAUUGCUUCUUUCAAUCUGAACAUGAAACAACGUGGAUCAAUGGCUGAGAAAACUGCAGAAGUUAUGGAUCUCUGGCCAGGCUCAACUCUCAGAAUGAAAUGGGAAUCUUUGAUGCAUUAUCUGGGGCCGUCUUUAUAUUGGUUUGAACUGAGCAAGCACAAUGCAAACAAAACGUGGAUGUGGGCAGAUGGAGCUACAUUCAGCAAUUGUCAAGUUAUGAAACUAGCGAAUUAUUUACAUUAAGUGGAUUUGUUGUUGCUGUCGUUGCUGAAACUAGUGAAAGAAUCGAGUUUUGUGCUAUGAGUCAUGGGAGCAAAACGUGAGUAUUUAGAAGUGGAGAGGACCACGAAGAAGGAAGCCCUGGUGACUUGAAGAAAUCAUGGAGAGUUCUCCGGAUUCCCACAAACCUAUGGGGUUUAGAUUCCAGCUAAUACUUACACGGGUCUCAGAAGGACAGAGGGCAAGGGUUAACAUCUGGCUGAUAUUAAAGUCUCUGCACCUCUUAAUAUUUUACUUUGGCCUAGUUUUCUU